rnacentral:rRNA from 1 species
CCCUUAGAUGUUCUGGGCCGCACGCGCGCUACACUGACGGAGCCAACGAGUAUUUUCCUUGUCCGGAAGGACUGGGUAAUCUUGUGAAACUUUGUCGUGCUGGGGAUAGAGCAUUGUAAUUAUUGCUCUUCAACGAGGAAUUCCUAGUAAGCGUGAGUCAUCAGCUCGCGUUGAUUACGUCCCUGCCCUUUGUACACACCGCCCGUCGCUCCUACCGAUUGAAUGUUCCGGUGAGCUCUUCGGACUGCGCGGUCUGCAGUUUCUGCGUUCCGUGCGGAAAGUUGCGCAAACCUUAACAUUUAGAGGAAGGAGAAGUCGUAACA